rnacentral:tRNA from 1 species
ACUUUUAAAGGAUAAUAGCAAUCCUGUGGUCUUAGGAGCCAUAAAUCUUGGUGCAACUCCAAGUAAAAGCU